rnacentral:rRNA from 1 species
AGCGAACGCUGGCGGCAGGCCUAACACAUGCAAGUCGAACGAACCCUUCGGGGUUAGUGGCGGACGGGUGAGUAACACGUGGGAACGUGCCUUUAGGUUCGGAAUAACUCAGGGAAACUUGUGCUAAUACCGAAUGUGCCCUUCGGGGGCAAGAUUUAUCGCCUUUAGAGCGGCUCGCGUCUGAUUAGCUAGUUGGUGAGGUAAUGGAUCACCAAGGCUACGAUCAGUAGCUGGUCUGAGAGGAUGACCAGCCACAUUGGGACUGAGACACGGCCCAAACUCCUACGGGAGGCAGCAGUGGGGAAUCUUGCGCAAUGGGCGAAAGCCUGACGCAGCCAUGCCGCGUGGAUGAUGAAGGUCUUAGGAUUGUAAAAUCCUUUCACCGGUGAAGAUAAUGACUGUAGCCGGAGAAGAAGCCCCGGCUAACUUCGUGCCAGCCGCCGCGGUAAGAC